rnacentral:rRNA from 1 species
UACGUAGGGUGCAAGCGUUAAUCGGAAUUACUGGGCGUAAAGCGUGCGCAGGCGGUUUUGUAAGUCUGUCGUGAAAUCCCCGGGCUCAACCUGGGAAUGGCAUUGGAUACUGGCUCGCUAGAGUGCGGUAGAGGGUGGUGGAAUUCCCGGUGUAGCAGUGAAAUGCGUAGAGAUCGGGAGGAACAUCUGUGGCGAAGGCGGCCACCUGGACCAGCACUGACACUGAGGCACGAAAGCGUGGGGAGCAAACAGG